AGAACUGUCAAACAAUUUUUAAAAUCUACUAAAAUGUAUGAAAGUUGGCCUAGUGGCAGCUUUACUUCACUUGCUUGAAGCGCUUUAAAGUAUCGAUUAGCCGAAAUCUCUAUUUGACAGCGCGCUGUAGGCUUUUGACAACUCUUGACAUUUCAAUUUUUCGCGUCGAUUUUGCUUGUGUGCAGUUUUUAUCGCGUUCUUCAUCAAUUUUAGAUACCUUGCUUUUUAUCGUUCCGGCCACCAGAUUCGUUGGUUUUCAUAAAGUUUCAUUUGCCUGUGCCACUUCCACCCGUGUUUAUAAGGCGUAUUAUUCAACUGGAGAUACCUUACUUUUUUAUCGUUCCGGCUGCUGUAUUAUCCGAUUCUUGUGUGUUGGUUGGUAUAUCGGAAGCUUUAGUGCAAGAUGUUCGAAGAAAAACUUAUAGCAGAGAUUGAAAAAACACAACUGCUUGUGGGACAAACGACAGCUUAGUUACCGCGAUCGGGUGAAGAAAGAUUUGGCUUGGCGAAAUGUAGCUGCUGCUGUGGGACAUCCUGAGGAAAACUGCCGAAAGCGAUGGAAAUCGUUAAGAGACCGAUAUGGAAUAGAAUUGAAGGUUGAUCAACAACCUAGCGGAAGUGCUGCGUCGUUUUUGAAAGACACGGUCACGCCCAGACAGACAACAACAAACAUCGUCUCCCAAACGCCAGAAGUUCUCGGACAAGAACCAGAUAUACUGGAUACUUCCUUUGGAUUCCAAAUAGGCGAGAGUGGGAACAUUAUAAUAGAAGAGCAAGAAACCACUGCCCCAACGCCGGCUAAGAGACAAAAGAAAAAAAACGAUGAGAACGCCGCCUUUAACGAUCUAGUCAACGAAGUAAGUCAGUUUGUGGAUAGUCAAAAAAAAA